GACGAACGCUGGCGGCGUGCCUAAUACAUGCAAGUCGAGCGGAUUGAUGGGAGCUUGCUCCCUGAUAUCAGCGGCGGACGGGUGAGUAACACGUGGGCAACCUGCCUAUAAGACUGGGAUAACUUCGGGAAACCGGAGCUAAUACCGGAUAAUCCCUUUCCUCUCAUGAGGAAAGGCUGAAAGAUGGUUUACGCUAUCACUUAUAGAUGGGCCCGCGGCGCAUUAGCUAGUUGGUGAGGUAACGGCUCACCAAGGCAACGAUGCGUAGCCGACCUGGGAGGGUGAUCGGCCCCACUGGGAAGGAGACCCGGCCCAGACUCCUACGGGAGGCAGCAGUAGGGAAUCUUCCGCAAUGGACGAAAGUCUGACGGAGCAACGCCGCGUGAGUGAUGAAGGUUUUCGGAUCGUAAAACUCUGUUGUUAGGGAAGAACAAGUACGAGAGUAACUGCUCGUACCUUGACGGUACCUAACCAGAAAGCCACGGCUAACUACGUGCCAGCCGCCGCAGUAA
rnacentral:rRNA from 1 species